AUGUCCCACGCGUAUACGGCGGUUCCUCCGCGCCGUCUGCGCUCGCCUGACGACUGCUCGCUACGUUUGUUAGCC
rnacentral:sRNA from 9 species